rnacentral:rRNA from 1 species
AUUGAACGCUGGCGGCAGGCCUAACACAUGCAAGUCGAGCGGAGCGGCGGACGGGUGAGUAAUGCCUAGGAAUCUGCCUGGUAGUGGUGGCUAACGUCCGGAACCGGGCGUUAAUACCGCAUGCUAUUAGAUCAGCCUAGUUCGUAUUAGCUAGUUGGUGGGGUAAAGGCCUACCAAGGCGACGAUCCGUAACUGGUCUGAGAGGAUGAUCAGUCACACUGGAACUGAGACACGGUCCAGCCUCCUACGGGAGGCAGCAGUGGGGAAUAUUGGACAAUGGGCGAAAUCCUGAUCCAGCCAUGCCGCGUGUGUGAAGAAGGUCUUCGGAUUGUAAAGCACUUUAAGUUGGGAGGCGUUACCAACAGAAUAAGCACCGGCUAACUACGUGCCAGCAGCCGCGGUAAUUC